GGUUGAGGACCCCUGUUCUAGAAUUUGUGACUGAUUGAAAACAGCUACUGAUUGAAAAGAGCUACAUUCAAAGACAAGGCAGGUAUUUAACAAACAUAUUAGUCACAUGCAUCAUGAAGAUGUAUGAUGACAGACCGUCCACUGUAAAAUAUUCAAGUGAAGUUUGAUGUUUGCUGACUUCAUGGACAUGCCCAUGCAAGGUUUUUUGUUUUGUUUUGUUUUUAAGUCAGAUUUACUCUUGCCACCCUCAAAGAUGUUUCUUCCGCUUCCUAUUCUGCUUUACAUCCAGGGCCAGCUUUAGGUUAAGACCAAGUAGGCACUGGCUUAGCUGCCAAAAUUUAGGGGGCUGUGCCAAUGCUGCUUUUCCUUCUGAAUCAUUCUAAAAAGGAAAAUCUUGUAUUUUGGCAGAAGGUGGUGACAUUCAAUCAAUGUGGCUUAGGGGCACCACAGACCCUUGAGCUGACCUUGCUUACAACCUUGAAUUUCCUGUUGGUUUCCCAUUCAAGGAUUCCACGGGCAUUCUGCUCCAGGUUAGACCUUGCUCAGCUUUCGAAAUGAGCCAACGUCGGUUAGUAAAGUUUGCCACUUGUCUGGGCUCUCAGUUUUAGCUCCGUAUUAAGGAGAUUUCAUCGAACAACAACUGAUUCCUGGCGAGCAGUGGCGGGGCAAAACAUCAACGUCGGACACACGCGAAAGAGAUGGGAGAACAAUUAGUUAUCCCGGAAGAUCUAACAACGUUAAUCAUAUCCGGGAAGGAUACACGCUGAACUUUUGGGCUUAUUUUCACCUCUCUCCAAACCCUGGCAAGUUCGACUGAGCCGGCCCGAAGAUCGCUUCCAUUCUCUUUCACACACUCCCCCGCCGGAGAAAUGGUACCUUCCAGAGUUUUGCCUGCCGCCGGGUGUUUGACGGAGAAAGUCGCUCGCGGACAGUUUUCAUCGGGCGGAGGCGGGAGCGGAGGCUGUGUCCGGGACGCUGGGCUGAGCCGGAGUCUGGGGAAGGCAGAGCGGAGCAAAGCAAAGUAGGAUGAGUGGGAAAGAGCCGCUCUUGGGCGCUCUGAAAGUGUGCAUUCUCAACUUUCAGGAAAGCAAUAGUCCUUACACAGAUUCCUGUCCUCAUUUACAAUCUUUUUGUGAGAUCCUGGAAAUGAUUCUUCGGAAAGGAUUAAAACAGCCAGUCCUGGGAUUCAAGAGGAAGGACUAUUGGCACUGGCUAGAGCAGCUUCCACAGCAGGAAACCCACCACAGUAGAACCCUUCUGUCCAUGAUGAUUGAGAAAACAAGUUCUUGUGAGAAGGUGCUGACAGCUCAAGGAAGAGGGCGGUACUUCCUGCGUCUGGCUUUGAAUGGGAAGUUAUUAGCAGUUGCUGUUCAGCAGCUCAUCAGAACUCCCAGGCUGCUUGAGUGUUAUGAUCCAAUAACAUCCAUCCUGAGCAAUGAAGAAUUUUCAGAGCCUUUCUUCUCCAUGAUGUUGGUGGUUACAGAAAUGAAUUUCUCCUUAGAUUUGCAGAAUUCCAGUUUCUUGGAUGAAAGCUGGCAACUUCCGGUGUGCCAGACUUAUGAAACUGUCCCCUGCCGAGAAUUGGGAAUGGUGCUGAGGUAUUUAAAUGGACGGAUUUUCAUAAUAGAAGUGCUUCCAAAGACCCAGGCAGAAGUGGAUGAGGUAGUACUAGUUGGUGAUGUCAUUGAUGAGAUAAAUGGAUCUUCACUAAGGAAUGCAUGCAAUGGACAGGCUGGUUCAGUACUGCAGAAGCUGAAAGGCAAGCCACUAAGCUUUCGCCUUAUCCGGUGGAAAUGGCACGAUGGAGGAAUGUACAAGCCAUUGUUGCCCUAUCUAAAAGUUCUCAGAGAAAAAAUCCCCAGCUUCCAACUCCAGCAUGAGCACAAACCUAAAGAAGAGAAUGAGGAGCGAAGUUUGCAAGGAGGCAGACUCCUGUACAAUCUGAGGUACAUAGGCCAGGCCAAUGUAGGGAAGUAUGGAGGCAAAGAGAUAUUAGACGUAGGCAUACCCAUGGUGUUAGAUAAGUGUUUACCACAGCAGGUAAGAUCCAUGCUGGGAAUAAGAGAUGAAUGUUUAUCAAACUACUUUAUUUUCCUCUUAAAUCAUUAUUUUAAAUUAUGUUUUUAAAUAAAGAAGCAGAUUGAAUGUUGAUCACUACAGCCCAUUGUGAUGGCAGUCUUGAUAAUUUAAUUAAUAAAGCCAAUAGGAAUUUAGGUGAUAGGGUUAUUUGAAAUGAGAAAACAGCACAGGUGAUAAGGCUUAUAUUUUAGAUAAAAACAUAUUUCUAUAUAACAAAUUCUGUAAUCCUUAGGUCUCUGAGACAGAACGUGGCUGAACUUUUGUUUUUAAUAGGAAAUGCUUUGAGAAGUGCCAUUUAAGUCAUGAAUGAGAAGUAAAUCAGGUAUCAGAAUUUUGUAGAUUAGAACUAGUAGAAAUCCACUGUUUGAGGCAGAUAUAGACAAAUGCCAUUUUGCAACACAUUUACUGACUGAACACCUCAAUGACCUUUUUUUUCCCAUUGAGAAAUAGUUCAUGAAGGCAUGAAAAUAUUUAAGCUGAUAGGGGGAAGUUGGUCCUACUGAAGUUCAGUUACGGAUUCUAUUCUGUUGCAUGAUGGUGAGUUCGGCCCGAUACAUUUAGCAACUCAUCUUCACGCAAGUGAAUUUCUCCUUGAUCAUCCAUACCUUUCCAAUUGACUUCAGCCCUCUUCAUCUUCUGGAACAGAUUUGUUACAGUAAAGGGGAAUCUAUUUCGUCAAUUAUUUCUAUUCUGCAGAUAGACAGUUCACAAAAGCCGAUUGUUUUUUUCCAUGUACCAUUUUUUUUAAAAAAAGAAUGAAAGUUAUAAUGGAUUAAGGUGACCCCCAUACUUCAUCCUCUAUUGCCAGGCCUUUAUAUUAUAGGUAAAUUCACAUUAGGAAAUCAUGGGAGGCAACAGUGGAUAUGGAGGUGCCUCAAUUGGUGCACUGCUUUCAUUACCAUUCUCUAACAAAUACUAUCCUUUACAACUCCUGGCCUUGCAGGAAUUUGCCACUAACCAAGAGGAACCGUAGAUUGUUCUAUGAGGUGGUGGGUGCCUCAGGGAUAGCAAAAUGGAGGAAGGAAGAUGGUCAGUUAAGAAGUGUGAAAUAUAUGAAUGAAUGAAUGAGUGAGUGAGUGAGUGAGUGAGUGAGUGAGUGAGUGAGUGAGUGACCGACCGACUGACCAAGUAGGGAACGUGGGGAAUGAUACAGCUCCUUCUACAUCAGGCAUGCCAGACGUGAGAGGGGGAGUCCAAUAGAUUCCCUGUGGAGGGAUAGCAAUCACCUCUACAAGCACAGAUGAGUUAAAGGAGAUCUUGUGAACUGUUGGGAAUUACCAGCAGAAGAGGGGAGUGACCCAUCUUACAGCCCACAAUCAGUUUCCUCUGAGAAGUUAUGAAAAGGAAAUCUUAUUUGAUGUCAAAGAAACAGAAGUAAUUGUUCAACACAAAACAACUUCAAAGGUUCUUUUCCGUUAUUCUUAUACAGACAUUUCCUGCGUGGGACGCCGUCUGGAUAG